rnacentral:lncRNA from 1 species
CGGCUUUCCAAACUAACUCCUUGUCAUGAUCAGAGACAAAACUGAUCUCAGGAGCACCUCGCUUCUCUCUCCAUUCAUGAGCACUGAUCGGUAUUUGAUCUCUCACAAGAUAUCCACAGUGACUAACAUAUUUAUUUGCAUGUUCACCAAGUGGUCUGCCUGUAGCUAUCUCAAACUCAGAGAUUACAUAGCGGCCCUCUAACGGCUUCUUUGGUCCUCGUGGAGGUACGCUUCUCCCCGUAGAGGUCGAUCCAGAAGGCUACACGUAGAUAUAGAAACAAAAAUACUAAAUUAAUAACCAAGUAAGUCUAAAACCUAAUGUAAAAGAUGCAUUAAUUAUAUAUGUUUACAUUUACAUACCUCGUCAGUAUUUCCUUCUUGUUGCACGACAAGUUGUUGCUCACACGCAUUGCCCUCUUGUUGCUCAGGGGCAUUGCCCUCUUGUUGUUUAGUCGGAUUGCCUUGCAUGAUCUCGUUGUAAUCAAUAAAGUACUGACUACCGUCGUCGAUCAUAUGUUGAAUGGCAUCU